AUUGAACGCUGGCGGCAGGCUUAACACAUGCAAGUCGAACGAGUGGCGGACGGGUGAGUAAUGCUUGGGAAUCUAGCUUAUGGAGGGGGAUAACUACGGGAAACUGUAGCUAAUACCGCGUACCAUAGGAUGAGCCCAAGUGGGAUUAGGUAGUUGGUGGGGUAAAGGCUCACCAAGCCGACGAUCACUAGCUGGUCUGAGAGGAUGACCAGCCAAACUGGGACUGAGAAACGGCGCAGACUCCUACGGGAGGCAGCAGUGGGGAAUAAUGUGCAAUGGGGGCAACCUGACCCAGCCAUGCCGCGUGAGUGAAGAAGGCCUUAGGGUUGAAAAGUUCUGUCAGUAGCGAGGCGUUACCUACAGAAGAAGCACCGGGUAACUCCGUGCCAGCAGCCGCGGUAAUUC
rnacentral:rRNA from 1 species